UGGAUGAUAAUUUUACAUAUCAUCGUCUAGUGGAAGGAGCACAAAAGAAGAAAAUUUUUAAAUAAAGAUCUUACGACAAAAGUAUGCAUCUCUUUCUUUUAACGGAUAUGUGAGAUCGAGAAUCACCUUCUAGCAAUGCUAAAAUAGGGCAGAUUAUUGUUCAUGCAAUUUAAGGAUACCUAAUAUAACAGAUUGGGAUACUAAGGAAUAAUUUUCAGAAGUUUACAUAAUUUCGAGCUUAAAAUGUUCUAAGAUGGCUUGAGGGCUAAUCUCUUAUUAGGAAAGAAGGCU
rnacentral:lncRNA from 1 species